UGGGGAAUUUUGGACAAUGGGCGAAAGCCUGAUCCAGCAAUGCCGCGUGUGUGAAGAAGGCCUUCGGGUUGUAAAGCACUUUUGUCCGGAAAGAAAUCCUUGGCUCUAAUACAGUCGGGGGAUGACGGUACCGGAAGAAUAAGCACCGGCUAACUACGUGCCAGCAGCCGCGGUAAUACGUAGGGUGCAAGCGUUAAUCGGAAUUACUGGGCGUAAAGCGUGCGCAGGCGGUUUGCUAAGACCGAUGUGAAAUCCCCGGGCUCAACCUGGGAACUGCAUUGGUGACUGGCAGGCUAGAGUAUGGCAGAGGGGGGUAGAAUUCCACGUGUAGCAGUGAAAUGCGUAGAGAUGUGGAGGAAUACCGAUGGCGAAGGCAGCCCCCUGGGCCAAUACUGACGCUCAUGCACGAAAGCGUGGGGAGCAAACAGGAUUAGAUACCCUGGUAGUCCACGCCCUAAACGAUGUCACUAGUUGUUGGGGAUUCAUUUCCUUAGUAACGUAGCUAACGCGUGAAGUUGACCGCCUGGGGAGUACGGUCGCAAGAUU
rnacentral:rRNA from 1 species